rnacentral:lncRNA from 1 species
GUCAGUUCACCGGGACCUGGAGGCCCAGAUUGCCAUCGUAACAGAGAGCCGAGCCCUGCAGCAGCAGCUUCACCAGGAGCAAGAGCAGCUCUACCUGCGGUCUGGUGUGGUUUCCUCUGCGACCUUUGAGCAGCCAGGUCGGCAGGUCAAGCUGUGGGUGAAGAUGGUGACCCCGCUGAUCAAGAACUUCUUUUGAGAACAGGCAGGUGCUGGGAGCUCAGAGCAGGCCAGGAGUGUUCUGAAGGGACCCUGAAGCCACCCUGAGGCCUUUCUGUCCACUGCUUCCUUUGACACAGCACUGUUGGGUGGUGGUGGACAGCAGUUUUAGAGCAAGUACUGAGCUUUGCUCCCCCUACCCCGCUCCACCACCCUCAGGUGCUGCUGCUGCCCAGGACUGGGCCACCUCUGCUGAGGCCAGCGGCACCUGUCUCCUCCUGUUA